rnacentral:ncRNA from 1 species
AGAAAAGCUAUGAUGGAGACAAGUAAAAAAGAUAUUUCACCAACAGUGAGCUGAGGAUAGUGUGAACUCAGUGGCAGAGUUUUUUUGAAUAACACUCCUGAGUUGCAAACUGAAAUAUCUGUAGAUUGUAUUUUAAACCAAACUUUUGAGAAAGGUUCAGAUAAAGUAGGAGAGUCGUAUUCCAUGCGUUAUUUGGAUACCAGUAGAACUGGAAAGAGACCAAUAUGAUAUGGUAAAUUAGGUGGUACCACGGAUAAGCGUUAAUUCGUCCUAUUA